rnacentral:rRNA from 1 species
UACGGAGGGUGCGAGCGUUAAUCGGAAUUACUGGGCGUAAAGCGCGCGUAGGCGGUUUGUUAAGUCGGGUGUGAAAUCCCUGGGCUCAACCUAGGAAUUGCAUUCGAUACUGGCAGGCUAGAGUGUGGUAGAGGGAAGUGGAAUUCCAGGUGUAGCGGUGAAAUGCGUAGAUAUCUGGAGGAACAUCAGUGGCGAAGGCGACUUCCUGGACCAACACUGACGCUGAGGCGCGAAAGCGUGGGGAGCAAACAGG